UACGGAGGGUGCAAGCGUUAUCCGGAUUCACUGGGUUUAAAGGGAGCGUAGGUGGGGCGGUAAGUCAGUGGUGAAAUCUCCGGGCUUAACUCGGAAACUGCCGUUGAUACUAUCGUUCUUGAAUAUUGUGGAGGUAAGCGGAAUAUGUCAUGUAGCGGUGAAAUGCUUAGAUAUGACAUAGAACACCGAUUGCGAAGGCAGCUGACGAAACUAUAACUGACACUGAGGCUCGAAAGUGUGGGGAUCAAACAGG
rnacentral:rRNA from 1 species